GUGAAGAUAUCAAACAAACGCUUGAUAAAAUGUCGCGCCUUUACCGUAAUACUAUUACGCCCUAGCCGUUCACUCGGAACAAUCGUUGGCCUGAAAACAAAACGUGUAAAUAUUUUUUUAAUUCGAAAUUAAGUACCUUAUUGUGCGUUUACACGCGGCGGAUAAUAUUAUUAACGAAUCAUCGUGUAAUAUGGCGGCGUCGACGUUUUUCUGCGGGGGUCAUCGACGGCAUUACUUGUACUCCACACAUACAUAACAUACCUACCUAUCUAUAUAUAAUAUAA